AUACGUAGGGAGCGAGCGUUGUCCGGAAUUACUGGGUGUAAAGGGUGCGUAGGCGGGACUGCAAGUCAGAUGUGAAAUGCCGGGGCUCAACCCCGGAGCUGCAUUUGAAACUGUGGUUCUUGAGUGAGGUAGAGGUAAGCGGCAUUCCUAGUGUAGCGGUGAAAUGCGUAGAUAUUAGGAGGAACAUCGGUGGCGAAGGCGGCUUACUGGGCCUUUACUGACGCUGAGGCACGAAAGCGUGGGGAGCAAACAGGAUUAUAUACCCUGGUAGUCCAUGCCGUAAACGAUGAUUACUAGGUGUAGGGGGUAUCGACCCCUUCUGUGCCGGAGUUAACACAAUAAGUAAUCCACCUGGGGAGUACGGCCGCAAGGUUGAAACUCAAAGGAAUUGACGGGG
rnacentral:rRNA from 1 species